UUCAGGAUUUGAGUUACCAAUGUAGUGUCUACGACUGGCUGAUGGUUCAAGAGUUCGAAGAAAGUCAAGCAGAAGGGAAUACUACACAUGCCCACGCUGCUAUAUGCCAAGGUGCUAGAGGCCACAUAUUGGGCAGGAGCUUUCGUAUGGUGUGCAAGUGCUAGAGGCUACAUAUUGCUGGAAGGUGCUCAAUUCACAUUAGGACAGCCCACCCCCAAGAAGAAAUUAAAACAGAGAUUAUUCACUUUGUGAAGAUCAAUAACAAUGAGGAGCAGA